GACGAAGGAUCCAAGCGUUAUCCGGAUUCAUUGGGUUUAAAGGGUGCGUAGGCGGGGUUGUAAGUCAGUGGUGAAAUCCUAUCGCUUAACGAUGGAACUGCCAUUGAUACUGCGGACCUAGAAUAUAGAUGAUGUUGGCGGAAUAUGACAUGUAGCGGUGAAAUGCAUAGAUAUGUCAUAGAACACCGAUUGCGAAGGCAGCUGACAAAACUAUUAUUGACGCUGAUGCACGAAAGUGCGGGGAUCAAACAGG
rnacentral:rRNA from 1 species